AGAGUCUUAUGGUGAAGGUUUAGCAAACCACAUCAGCCUCGAGUCAUGCGGCAAUUGCAGUAAUGCAAUGGCUGAAGCGUUGACAGAGGGAAGCGCAGGCGGGCCAUUGAGCUCCGAAAUCACUAGUUUUCGGGCGCCGACCACGUAGCCUGAUUGGGAAGGCCAUACGCCUCACAGCGUUAUUUUGCGAGUUGUGGGGCGGCCCGGCGGAGUCUUAGAACC
rnacentral:ncRNA from 1 species